GGCUGAGUGGUCCAGUAGGUAAAAGCACUAGACUUGUAGUCAGGAAAACCUGAGUUCAAAUCUCACCUCAGUCC
rnacentral:tRNA from 1 species